rnacentral:rRNA from 1 species
AUUGAAGGCCGCGGUAUUUUGACCGUGCAAAGGUAGCAUAAUCAUUAGUCUUUUAAUUGAGGGCUAGAAUGAAUGGUUUCACGAGGUAUUAACUGUCUCCAUAUAAGUGAUUGAAUUUAUCAUUUGAGUUAAAAGACUUAAAUGAAAAUAAGGGACGAGAAGACCCUGUAGAGCUUUAUAUAAAAUCGAAGAGAUUCUUUGUGGGUUAAUUUAAAUUUUUUUUAUAUUUAUAUUAUGUUGGGGUGACAUAAAGAUAAAAAUAACUCUUUAUUUGUAUUUACAUAGAUUUAUGGAUGCUUGAUCCUAUAAUAAUGAUUGUAAGAUAAAGUUACCUUAGGGAUAACAGCGUAAUUUCUCUUAAGAGUUCAUAUCGAAGGAGAAGAUUGCGACCUCGAUGUUGGAUUAGGAAAAUGGUUAAAUGCAGUAGUUUAACUACCUAAAUAGGUCUGUUCCGACCUUUAAAAAUCUUACCAUGAAUCUGAAUUCCA